rnacentral:rRNA from 1 species
AUUGAACGCUGGCGGCAUGCUUUACACAUGCAAGCCGAACGGUAACAGGGUGCUUGCACCGCUGACGAGUGGCGAACGGGUGAGUAAUGCGUCGGAACGCACCGAGUAAUGGGGGAUAACGCAGCGAAAGUUGUGCUAAUACCGCAUACGCUCUGAGGAGGAAAGCGGGGGACCUUCGGGCCUCGCGUUAUUCGAGCGGCCGACGUCUGAUUAGCUAGUAGGUGAGGUAAAAGCUCACCUAGGCGACGAUCAGUAGCGGGUCUGAGAGGAUGACCCGCCACACGGGGAGUGAGACACGGCCCAGACUCCUACGGGAGGCAGCGGUGGGGAAUUUUGGACAAUGGGCGCAAGCCUGAUCCAGCCAUGCCGCGUGUCUGAAGAAGGCCUUCGGGUUGUAAAGGACUUUUGUCAGGGAGGAAAUCCCUAAGGUUAAUACCCUUGGGGGAUGACAGUACCUGAAGAAUAAGCACCGGCUAACUACGUGCCAGCCGCCGCGGUAA